rnacentral:rRNA from 1 species
UACGGAGGGUGCGAGCGUUGUCCGGAAUCAUUGGGCGUAAAGGGCGCGUAGGUGGCGGGACAAGCGUGCGGUGAAAGCCUGGGGCUCAACCCCGGGUCGGCCGUGCGAACUGUUUUGCUUGAGCACUGUAGAGGCAGGCGGAAUUCCGGGUGUAGCGGUGGAAUGCGUAGAGAUCCGGAAGAACACCGGUGGCGAAGGCGGCCUGCUGGGCAGUAGCUGACACUGAGGCGCGACAGCGUGGGGGAGCAAACAGGG